rfam:Lupinus angustifolius cultivar Tanjil chromosome LG20, whole genome shotgun sequence.
CAACCAUGAUUGGGGCAUUUUCUCAGUAGCAUCUGAAAAUUCUCCCAAGCUUUAUAGAAUGUUUCAUCUACGCCUUGCCUGAAAGUGGAUAUUUCAAAUUUGGCAUG